rnacentral:rRNA from 1 species
GUGUAGCAUGUGGUUUAAUUCGAAGCAACGCGAAGAACCUUACCAGGUCUUGACAUCCGCUGACAAUCUUGGAGACAAGACGUUCCCUUCGGGGACAGCGUGACAGGUGGUGCAUGGUUGUCGUCAGCUCGUGUCGUGAGAUGUUGGGUUAAGUCCCGCAACGAGCGCAACCCUUGAUUCUAGUUGCCAGCAUUAAGUUGGGCACUCUAGAGUGACUGCCGGUGACAAACCGGAGGAAGGUGGGGAUGACGUCAAAUCAUCAUGCCCCUUAUGACCUGGGCUACACACGUGCUACAAUGGAUGGUACAAAGGGCAGCAA